rnacentral:tRNA from 2 species
GAGAGUUUGGCCGAGUGGUUAAGGCGUCAGAUUUAGGUCUUCACAAGUUUCCAAUAACUUGUAAGCACUCUGAUAUCUACGGAUGCGCGGGUUCGAAUCCCGUAGCUCUCA